rnacentral:rRNA from 1 species
GUAGGGUGCAAGCGUUAAUCGGAAUUACUGGGCGUAAAGCGUGCGCAGGCGGCUUUGCAAGACAGAUGUGAAAUCCCCGGGCUUAACCUGGGAACUGCAUUUGUGACUGCAGGGCUGGAGUGCGGCAGAGGGGGAUGGAAUUCCGCGUGUAGCAGUGAAAUGCGUAGAUAUGCGGAGGAACACCGAUGGCGAAGGCAAUCCCCUGGGCCUGCACUGACGCUCAUGCACGAAAGCGUGGGGAGCAAACAGGAUUAGAUACCCUGGUAGUCCACGCCCUAAACGAUGUCAACUGGUUGUUGGACGGCUUGCUGUUCAGUAACGAAGCUAACGCGUGAAGUUGACCGCCUGGGGAGUACGGCCGCAAGGUUG